UGGCAUGGCUGCCUAAGUUAUAGCUGCUUGGAUGUGUUACAGCUACAUCUCUCCCAGGGGUUUCAUAGUGUAGAAUAAACUUCCCUGAACAAAGUCUGUGCCAGAAGGAAUUCUCCCCUGACCAGAUCCAAGGCGCAAUGGUUCUUUUUAGCUGCUAUAGCAGUGUAAGAGAGCCAUAGUGGGAGAAGAAUCGUUCCCUUGCUAUAUACCUCCUCUUGCACAUUGGCACUGCCCUUAAAAUGUAAUAGCCAAUCUGUCCAUCCAUUCCUUAUUGAGAUUUUAACCCUUCUCUUAGAAACACUGAAUUGUUAUAGAGAUGCUAUAGAUCUAUUGAUAUAGAUAUGCUUUGAAACACAUAGCAGCAAAGCCACUCUCCUUCGCUUUACUUUGUUUUGUUGGGAGUGUACUCUCUGGUUCUCAAAAUGAUGGGAUGAUUUUGCCCUAUUUAGAGCUAAGCAAACUAUUUGCAGCAGAAAAUUAACCUGACAAAUAUAGCUUCUUUUUCCCAUCUGCGUUAUUGGCGAACACACACAGCUUUCUACAAAUGACAGUUCUUUGAAAUAAUUUAAUGACUGUUUCAUGAAAAAAACAUUUCAGCUCAUGCGUUGCUCACAAACUGUUAGUGGCGGGCAUUGCUUUGAGUCUCUUGUUGCUUGUGAUUCACCAGUCACUGUGUGUGAUGGUUCUCCUACAGUGAGCCAUGUGGCAUUGUUUCUGCUCUGUGACUGAGCCUUUUUCAAAUGGGAGGAGAGCUUAAAUAAGUCUCUUGUGGUGCAGAUGUUUAUUCAAACACAUUUCUUGUGGUGUAGAUGUUUAUUCAAACACAUUUCCACAAACAUCCUCAGGAACCAAAAAAAUCUCUUGUUUACGUGCUUGGUAAAGAUGACUGAAAGGGGUGGAGAAUCCCACAGUGUGAAUCCUUUUGUUCUAAGUGCCUCCCAUCUGAAAAAAAGACUGUUAUCUGAAAUGAGAAGCCAAUUUCCCAAGAAGAAGCUACAAAAGAUUUCCUGUGUUGGAAAGGUGAACGAGAGUCUGCAGAUUGCAAGAGAGAGAAAAGCAUCUCCUCUUAAAUAUCCACUUCUCCAUCCUGCACAGGCGAAGUAGGUUAGUAGAUUUCUCCUCUUUUGCAGGUGAAUUUCACAUUGUAAUUUUUAAAAAAUAUUGG
rnacentral:lncRNA from 1 species